AGGAUGAACGCUGGCGGCGUGCUUAACACAUGCAAGUCGAACGGUGAAGCCCAGCUUGCUGGGUGGAUCAGUGGCGAACGGGUGAGUAACACGUGAGCAACCUGCCCCUGACUCUGGGAUAAGCGCUGGAAACGGUGUCUAAUACUGGAUACGAACAGUGACCGCAUGGUCAGUUGUUGGAAAGAUUUAUUGGUUGGGGAUGGGCUCGCGGCCUAUCAGCUUGUUGGUGAGGUAAUGGCUCACCAAGGCGUCGACGGGUAGCCGGCCUGAGAGGGUGACCGGCCACACUGGGACUGAGACACGGCCCAGACUCCUACGGGAGGCAGCAGUGGGAAUAUUGCACAAUGGGCGCAAGCCUGAUGCAGCAAGCCGCGUGAGGGAUGACGGCCUUGGUGUAAACGUACUUUAGUACAGGAGAAGCGAGAGUGACGGUACCUGACAGAAAAAAGACAACCGGACUAACUACGUAGCCAGCAAGCG
rnacentral:rRNA from 1 species